rnacentral:lncRNA from 1 species
UGACUUCAAAAUUCGGACUGUAUUGAGCUAUAGAUGGAAAGAAUAUUGUAGGAAGUGAAUAUGAAAGUACCUUCACAUUGCAUACUCCAACAUGAUCUGAUCCCAUCAUUGAAUUCAUACAAAUAUAUGGGUCCCAUCGUGCAACCCUCUAAUUAAAACUAUAAUUAGAAACUUUGGAGAAAAACAUAAAUGACUCAUUUAACAUCCAGAGAAUGCUAGUAACUACAAAAAGUAUAGCCGUCCCCUUGUUUUGUACAUUAGUUGAAGACGUCUGGAUAAAAUCAUAACCGCAGUCCUUUCUUUCCUUUCAUUUUCUGUUUUUGUUUAGCAGCAAUCAUUUUCUGUUUUUGUUUAGCAGCAAUCUUUGGCCUCCAUACACGAGGAGUUGAUGAAUCAUUUAUUUGAAUCUUCCAGCCGUGUACGGAUACUGAAGAUUGCUGUUCAAUAAAAAUGACAGGUUGUAACUUGGUGAGCGGUUGUCACGUUUGGCUCUUACUUUGAGUAGACUCUUCUUUAGUUUUAACUUGCUUUUCUAGUUUGCAAGUUCCCUUCAGGAGAUGAAUGUUGGUAGCUG